rnacentral:rRNA from 1 species
GACAGAGGGUGCAAACGUUGUUCGGAAUUACUGGGCGUAAAGCGCGUGUAGGCGGUUUCGUAAGUCGGAUGUGAAAGCCCUCGGCUCAACCGGGGAAGUGCACCCGAAACUGCGGAACUAGAGUCUCGGAGAGGAUCGUGGAAUUCUCGGUGUAGAGGUGAAAUUCGUAGAUAUCGAGAGGAACACCGGUGGCGAAGGCGGCGAUCUGGACGGUGACUGACGCUGAGACGCGAAAGCGUGGGGAGCGAACAGG